CCAUAUGAACAAAUCACCCUGAAUGCACCUCAUCUCACUGAAUCUUGGAAGAUAAGCAAGGUUGUGCCUGGUUAGUACCUGAAUGCGAGACUGCCUGGGUACAGAAGCUAUUGUAGGCU
rnacentral:rRNA from 1 species